GGUGUAGCGGUGAAAUGCGCAGAUAUCAGGAGGAACACCGGUGGCGAAGGCGGGACUCCGGGCUGUAACUGACACUGAGGAGCGAAAGCAUGGGGAGCGAACAGGAUUAGAUACCCUGGUAGUCCAUGCCGUAAACGUUGGGCACUAGGUGUGGGGGACAUUCCACGUUCUCCGCGCCGUAGCUAACGCAUUAAGUGCCCCGCCUGGGGAGUACGGUCGCAAGGCUAAAACUCAAAGGAAUUGACGGGGGCCCGCACAAGCGGCGGAGCAUGCGGAUUAAUUCGAUGCAACGCGAAGAACCUUACCAAGGCUUGACAUACACUGGACCGUUCUGGAAACAGUUCUUCUCUUUGGAGCUGGUGUACAGGUGGUGCAUGGUUGUCGUCAGCUCGUGUCGUGAGAUGUUGGGUUAAGUCCCGCAACGAGCGCAACCCUCGUUCUAUGUUGCCAGCACGUGAUGGUGGGAACUCAUAGGAGACUGCCGGGGUCAACUCGGAGGAAGGUGGGGAUGACGUCAAAUCAUCAUGCCCUUUAUGUCUUGGGCUUCACGCAUGCUACAAUGGCUGGUACAGAGAGAGGCGAACCCGUGAGGGUGAGCGAAUCCCUUAAAGCCAGUCUCAGUUCGGAUCGUAGUCUGCAAUUCGACUACGUGAAGUCGGAGUCGCUAGUAAUCGCAGAUCAGCAACGCUGCGGUGAAUACGUUCCCGGGCCUUGUACACACCGCCCGUCAAGUCACGAAAGUCGGUAACACCCGAAGCCGGUGUCCCAACCCCCUUUGUGGGGAGGGGGCCGUCUAAGGUGGGACUGGUGAUUGGGACUAAGUCGUAACAAGGUAACC
rnacentral:rRNA from 1 species